AGCGAACGCUGGCGGCAGGCCUAACACAUGCAAGUCGAACGAACCUUUCGGGGUUAGUGGCGGACGGGGGAGUAACACGUGGGAACGUGCCUUUAGGUUCGGAAUAACUCAGGGAAACUUGUGCUAAUAACGAAUGUGCCCUUCGGGGGAAAGAUUAAUCGCCUUUAGAGCGGCCCGCGUCUGAUUAGCUAGUUGGUUGAGGUAAUGGCUCACCAAGGCGACGAUCAGUAGCUGGUCUGAGAGGAUGAUCAGCCACAUUGGGACUGAGACACGGCCGGAACUCCUACGCGAGGCAGCAGUAGGGAAUCUUGCGCAAUGGGCGAAAGCCUGACGCAGCCAUGCCGCGUGAAUGAUGAAGGUCUUAGGAUUGUAAAAUUCUUUCACCGGGGACGAUACUGACGGUACCCGGAGAAGAAGCCCCGGCUAACUUCGUG
rnacentral:rRNA from 1 species